GUUGCAAGGGGAUGAAUCCAGUGCAACUGGCAGCGCAACUGUGCCAGCUGGCGACAGGCAGCGACGAGCGCCUGGGGAAAUAAGGGCACCAAAAUGCAGAGCCCAAGGCCAAGAGUGAAAAUUUGGCCAGGAGUUACCUGAGAAUUGCUUCUGUGUUUAAAAAAAGGGUAUUGGAGAGCUGCUUUUAGGUCUCGACUUUGCCCUGUUGUUUACUCAAUGCUCAAGGCAUGGCUUUUAAAGAGAAUUGCUUUUUAUUGGACUAACUGCACUUCUUGGCAAAAACAGCUAAGCUUUGGGGCAAACAAAACCUUCAGACUUGUGCAGCUGUGGAAAGGUGUCAUGGGUACAUAAAUUACAGGAUCUCCUCUCCGUGCUGCCAAACACGCUUGGUCUAGGACUUGAAAACUGUUGCUACAUAGGGAAUAUCCCUGGGGAGCAAACGGGGGGAGUUUGAGGAAAGAUAUGCAGUGUUCUGACUGACCAGCAUUCUGGAGAAUCUUGUUGGAAUUUUCAAGGAGCACAAGUGAAAAUGAAACUUAGGACUAACAAGAUGGGAGGCUUUGUAUAAAGGAAAAUUUGGAUAGGAGUACAGAUACGAUUCUGCAAAAGGUCAGCAUAGCAAAUAGUACUGUUCUUGGACAUCACUAGGAAUAAAAGCAAAUAAAUUAUUACUGUAGCAUUUAGAGACUCAUCUCCUGUUAGCUACUGGGCUGAAAGCCUCUUUAAAAGGGCUAAAACCUUCAGCUCCUUUUGAUUUGAUUAAGUGCACUAAUCAUCUGUUCAGCUUGAGUCAGUGUGAGAUCCAAGUACAAGCACUUCACAAGCUGUUCCGUGUGUCACUCUGACCACAAAGUCACAGUAAAGUCAGGCUGAGACCAGCACCUGCCCAAGGCUCCAAGGUGAGAAACUGCUCCUUGGGAACCAAGUCAGCUCCCAGUUAACAAACCAGCCAACCAACUGCUGCUGCUGCCACCUUUAACCUGAAGAGGGGACACAGGGAGUGACCAGCUCUAGGGUCAAGGUAUCACCAAGACAAUGUGCAGCAGCUCUGCUCUAAACUCUGGUUGGUUUUAUAUCCCCCUGGGGAUUGAAGCAGUUCUUCUGGGAAAACAUGAAUUCUAAGUUCCUUAGAGAUGACUCAAAGAAAGUAUAUCAGUUAAAGUUGCUUCAGAGUUGCACGUCUGACAAAUAAUUCAAUAUUUUUAGCUUUUAGGAAAAUGUCUGUACUUUAAUUAAAUAUUUUAGAUUAGAGAAGGGUUUUCCCAGCUCUUAAGUUGCUGUAUUUAAGCACCUUUUAAAUGGAAUUAAAAAUGUGUUUUGAGUCUCUAGUAACUUUGGCCUUUCGGUGUUCUCCACCAAAAUACAUUUUAUAAUUCUGUACUAGUAAAUGCCAGCAUGGUAGAAUAACUUUAUUGAACGUAUAUGACAUAAUGAUAUUUUGGAUGUAUAAGGAGUCUUUGGUUUCAAAGCAUUUUCCUCAAAUUAAGCAGCUACAGCAAAAAGAAUGAUUAUUCAUAUGUUACAGAAGGAGAAAUUGAAACACAGAAUUACAAGCCAAAAAAAUUACUAUUAAAAAUUAGUCAUGUAGUAAUUUUGCAGACCUAUUUAAAGCAUUCAUUUUUCAAGGAUGUUUGGCAUCUACAUGGCUUCAGUAGCUCUGUGUAGUCCACCAAAACUUAUGUCAACAGGUCUGACCAACAAAUACUAGAAGUAUAACGAUAAAUUGCUUUUUUCCCUCCCAGUACACAUUUCUGAUCCUAGUCAUCUUUUGUAACAAGCCGACUAUUCUUUUCUGGAAACCUUCAAUGUUUCACUUUUUCAGUGGUGAUUCAUACACAGCUACAUUUCAAAGUCAAUGGUUCUGCAGCAACUCACCAAUCUAUCUUACAGUAUAACACUUUUAACACUUUCCUACAGAAUGUUUUUCCCAUCUUUUCAAGUUGUUGUGAGCAACAUUCUAACUAAAAAUUAUCUUGGAACUUGCUAACUCCAUUUAGAAAAAAAGUAGAACUUUAAAUUACAUGUAUUUUCUUCAAAACUGCUAAAGCAAACUAAAGCAACCUUUCUGAAAAUUUCUUUAGAAUAAGUAAUUCUUGGGAUAAAUAUCAGUUAGAUUCUCAACAUAUGCCAUGGCUGCAUUGGCAGUUAGAUAGUGUGGCUCCUACAGCUCUUUCCAACAGGUGGAUGUUCAUAUGAUACAGUCCUCUAGUCAGCAGUCCAAAGGUCUUUUCAAGAUGAGAUAUAUAUAUUUUGUCCUAAAUAUGUUAUUCUUAGAAGGUGGAUUUGCAUGUUGAGAACAAUAAAUUAUUGAAAAGCACUCUAAUAGUUCACUUCCCAUUUGUAACAAAUAAAACAAAUUCCCAUUUGAAAUUGUACUACAAAUACUUCUGAGAAAGGAGUCUUCCUCAUUAAAGAAAAUUUCUUUGAAUUCUAAUGACAAAAACUAUAAUUUAGUUAAAAGAUGUAUGAAGUGAGUAGCAAACAAAGUGGUAGAAACUUUUAGCUGGUGAGAAAGCAAUUCAAUAAUAGACAUUAGAAAUUACUUUGCUAAUAUUUAUAUACAAUUCAUUUACUUAAAUUGAAAACCAUCUACUCUUGGAAGGAACUUCCUUUUCAACAGUUGUGAUUUGGCAAAAACAGCCCUGGGGACAUUAUGUCCUGACAUUGUUGACAGAUGUGAAACUCCUCCAUAUGUCUUCGUUCCUAAGAAAACAAACUGAUAGGUCACAUUCACUUUCCUUCUCAGCUUGUGUCUCCUACUAGGAUCAUAGCUAAAAAGUGCUGGUCCUUCUUUGGCUUUAGGAUACGAACUGCCACAUGUAAUUUCUUCAUUUUUUCUCAUCUGACAGGAGCUUUGACGGCUCAUUCUUCUCCUUGUUGUCUUCCCUAAGCAAUUUCUGAUCUUCCUGCCUCAUAACCUUCUCCUGUUCCACUCCUACUUCAGAGAUCCCACCAGGUUUAGCUUAUUUACAGAUUUGCCACAAGACUUUUCCCCCCCACCUAAUGUCAUGUGCAGAGAUGUGGAAAAAGAAAAGAAAAGAUGUAUUUUUCUUCCAAUGUUGAACAAAGACUUUAAUAGGAAUAGGAAGAGAAAACACCUUCAAAGUUAUACUGUCUUUACUUCUGCUUCACUAGAAGUCUCUCUCUCUAGAGUUUAUCAGUUUCACUCCUGUUUAAAUAAACAAUACAUCUGCCCUUUCUUGUAUCUGCCAAAGACAGGGAGACUAUAUGGUACCUAAAUUCAAAAUAGACCAAGUCAUAUGGAAAAAAGACAUCUGUCAUACAGACAAAUAUUUUUGAAGUUUUGAACACUGGAAUUAGGAUUUUUUGGAUGCUAAUUAACUAAAUACACAGAGGAGCACACAGCAAAAUAUUCAGGUUUCUAAGUGUAUGUCUAGAUCCCAAUCAAAUUCAAUUUCACUUGUGAGUGUCAACAGUGACAUAGGGAUACCUAAAAGCCUUGUAUACCUACAGAGCACACGGAGAGUCAUUUAUCUUCAGAAUUGUACUACUUAGCUCUCUUGUAAAGUUGAUUCUUUAUGUUGUUAGUGACAAAGAACAAAAUAAAAUAAACCCCAAGUAAGAACAUCACCCAACAGGAAGCCUGAAUGAUUUCUUAUUCAUUGAAUGACCUCUAGUGGUCAUUCAUCACAGCUUUCACAGCAGUCGAAAUGCCAGCUCGGAACAUGAUAAGCAUUUUUUUGUGAAAUAUAGAGCAAGAGAAUAAAUUCUUUUCAGAACUGUGCAUUAUGAAAUUUUUCUCUACCUCUUGCACUGUUAAAAUCAUAUUUUAUUUCACUUUAUUCUGUGAGCCCUGGGAACUCUGCAGGAGUUUUAAGUCAGAGUUUUAGCACCUGCAUUGCCCCUUGCUGUUUUCUCUUUGCUAGCCAGUGCCUCCCUCAAUCUUUGAAAUCUCCCUCAGCCGGUUUGAAAUUUGUCAGACACCCUUCUGUCGUCCAACACAGCCUUGAGUGUAUUCUGUUACCUCAAUAACCUCUGUUCAGCUUCUCAUAACAUCAUUGUAUUACCUGAAAAGGGCCACCAAGCAUCACCCCUCACUGCUGGCCAAAGGAGACCACUUCAUUCUGAACACAGAUGACACACGGAGUGAGUUUAUCUGUCUAAAGAGCAAACUCAGCAGAUUUCAUACUUGCAAUAUAAUUGGGAAGAGAGCUCUAAUCCUCAGCAUUGUGGGACAUGAAAAGAAGUCUGAGUUAAACAUUCAGCAAUAUGUCAGAAAACAAAUGGUAUUCUCAUCACUCAGGGGUUUUAUCAGCAUUUCUGCUGAUCUUUCUGUGGCUUCUUUAAACAGUUGGGCCAGAUUGUUCUGCUGGACAUGCAUAUCAGUCCAGAUAUUAAAGAAUUUAUUAAAAGCUUUUGCAAAAGACAGAAAAUAGGUUCAGAGAAAUAUCUCCUCUAUUCCUGUUUUUCUCAACUAUGGAUCUUAUACAGAUCUUCUUCUAUUUUAUUUUUUAUUUAAAUGAUCAUAUAAUAUGUGCAACACAAGCUGCAUUACAGGUGAAGUAUCCACAUGCUGAUUUUGUUACUCUCAGGCAGCUUUUGAUAGUCAUUUUUUCCCCUACACAAACCUGGUAACAGUAAGAAUAGAACCCCCAUAGAAGAUCAACGAAUAAGGAAUUUAUAGUUAAAAGCCUUUAAAGACUGUUUCAUAGCCCUACUUCCAGUAUGAGAUAUACUUGAGAGGAACUUGAACAAAAUGUUUAAGCAAAAUUGUGAAGAGCCUGUAUGAGUGCCUGAAUUUUAGUGCUCUGGAUAUUUUGCAAGGGAAAAAAAAAAGAACAGAUCUGUAGAUAAGCAUGAGAUGUUAUCACAAUUUGAUCAAAAUGCUUACCAGAGGAGCAAUUCCAGUAUUAAAGGAACUUCUUCCUUAAUUUCUCAUUCAUUUUAUUGUAAGUGACAACAGUAGGUGGAUUCUAGAGAAUGCUUCAUUAAUAUUUUUUUUCUUCCUAGAAAUUAGAGGACAUGCAUCUUAAAGGUAAUAUUUAUAGCUAAGGCAUUUCUGGGCUUGUAUACAAGUCAUGUACAAGUAGAUGGUCAGUCUUUAAUCAUUAAACCAAAGUAUUAGAUACUACUUUGUCUCUAGUCUGUAGUCAAGUCUAAUUCAGACAUUCUUUUCAUGUUAGAAUUGAUGUCUAGAAGCUAGUCAAAAUAUU